rnacentral:ncRNA from 2 species
UAUAUUUGCCGCUUGAAAGAGAAACUUUCAUAUACAUAAAAAUCAUUUACAAUAAUAUUAGCAUG